rnacentral:rRNA from 1 species
AUUGAACGCUGGCGGCAGGCCUAAGACAUGCAAGUCGAGCGCGCGGCGGACGCGUGAGUAAUGUCUGGGAAACUGCCUGAUGGAGAGGGAUAACUACUGGAAACGGUAGCUCAUACCGCAUACCAUCAGAUGUGCCCCCAUGGGAUUAGCUAGUAGGUGGGGUAACGGCUCACCUAGGCGACGAUCCCUAGCUGGUCUGAGAGGAUGACCCGCCACACGGGAACUGAGACACGGUCCAGACUCCUACGUGAGGCAGCAGUGGGGAAUAUUGCACAAUGGGCGCAAGCCUGAUGCAGCCAUGCCGCGUGUGUGAAGAAGGCCUUCGGGUUGUAAAGCACUUUCAGCGGUGAGGCGUUACCCGCAGAAGAAGCACCGGCUAACUCCGUGCCAGCAGCCGCGGUAAUUC